AAUACUCUCUAGUGACCGAUAGUGAACCAGUACCGUGAGGGAAAGGUGAAAAGCACCCCGGAAGGGGAGUGAAAUAGAACCUGAAACCGUGUGCUUACAAGUAGUCAGAGCCCGUUAAUGGGUGAUGGCGUGCCUUUUGUAGAAUGAACCGGCGAGUUACGAUUUGAUGCAAGGUUAAGCAGUAAAUGUGGAGCCGUAGCGAAAGCGAGUCUGAAUAGGGCGUUUAGUAUUUGGUCGUAGACCCGAAACCAGGUGAUCUACCCUUGGUCAGGUUGAAGUUCAGGUAACACUGAAUGGAGGACCGAACCGACUUACGUUGAAAAGUGAGCGGAUGAACUGAGGGUAGCGGAGAAAUUCCAAUCGAACCUGGAGAUAGCUGGUUCUCUCCGAAAUAGCUUUAGGGCUAGCCUCAAGUGAUGAUUAUUGGAGGUAGAGCACUGUUUGGACGAGGGGCCCCUCUCGGGUUACCGAAUUCAGACAAACUCCGAAUGCCAAUUAAUUUAACUUGGGAGUCAGAACAUGGGUGAUAAGGUCCGUGUUCGAAAGGGAAACAGCCCAGACCACCAGCUAAGGUCCCAAAAUAUAUGUUAAGUGGAAAAGGAUGUGGCGUUGCCCAGACAACUAGGAUGUUGGCUUAGAAGCAGCCAUCAUUUAAAGAGUGCGUAAUAGCUCACUAGUCGAGUGACACUGCGCCGAAAAUGUACCGGGGCUAAACAUAUUACCGAAGCUGUGGAUUGUCCUUUGGACAAUGGUAGGAGAGCGUUCUAAGGGCGUUGAAGCAUGAUCGUAAGGACAUGUGGAGCGCUUAGAAGUGAGAAUGCCGGUGUGAGUAGCGAAAGACGGGUGAGAAUCCCGUCCACCGAUUGACUAAGGUUUCCAGAGGAAGGCUCGUCCGCUCUGGGUUAGUCGGGUCCUAAGCUGAGGCCGACAGGCGUAGGCGAUGGAUAACAGGUUGAUAUUCCUGUACCACCUAUAAUCGUUUUAAUCGAUGGGGGGACGCAGUAGGAUAGGCGAAGCGUGCGAUUGGAUUGCACGUCUAAGCAGUAAGGCUGAGUAUUAGGCAAAUCCGGUACUCAUUAAGGCUGAGCUGUGAUGGGGAGAAGACAUUGUGUCUUCGAGUCGUUGAUUUCACACUGCCGAGAAAAGCCUCUAGAUAGAAAAUAGGUGCCCGUACCGCAAACCGACACAGGUAGUCAAGAUGAGAAUUCUAAGGUGAGCGAGCGAACUCUCGUUAAGGAACUCGGCAAAAUGACCCCGUAACUUCGGGAGAAGGGGUGCUCUUUAGGGUUAACGCCCAGAAGAGCCGCAGUGAAUAGGCCCAAGCGACUGUUUAUCAAAAACACAGGUCUCUGCUAAACCGUAAGGUGAUGUAUAGGGGCUGACGCCUGCCCGGUGCUGGAAGGUUAAGAGGAGUGGUUAGCUUCUGCGAAGCUACGAAUCGAAGCCCCAGUAAACGGCGGCCGUAACUAUAACGGUCCUAAGGUAGCGAAAUUCCUUGUCGGGUAAGUUCCGACCCGCACGAAAGGCGUAACGAUUUGGGCACUGUCUCAACGAGAGACUCGGUGAAAUCAUAGU
rnacentral:rRNA from 1 species